CUUGGCGCUGCCUUUGGCCAGGUAAAGGUUCGCCACGUCAGUGCUGCUGUAGAAAGCUGUUUCAACAAAAGACAUUCACAGGGAAAGACCUAACAUCAAACUGAAAGCUCCAGAACACCUACUAAAUGGACACUGAGGAUCUCGAUGCCCACCAGGGCGUCCAGCAGCCUCUCCAUCCCGUCCACACUGGUGCCCAGCUCCCGGGCCACAUGCUGCGCACUCAGAGGCUCCUGGGACUUGAGCAGGAGGUCAAACACUCCCAGCUCACAGGCUGAAAAUAUCACCUUGAGGGACGGACAUACAGUAUUGUCACAUCAGCACCUCGGCUCUGGUAGAUAGGAUCUUUAGCCAUGCGAGCAGUGUGUAAAAGCAGACCUGGCAUGCACAGAUUACCUGAAAGUUUAAACACAUAAGUCUGUAGCUGCUUUUUAAAUGACUCCACAGAAAUCACCAAACCAUAGAGGUGCAGGUAGAGCUAUAACACAGCUUAGGUGCUGCGGCCUCUAAAGCUUCAUCACCACAAUUCUUUAAAUGCAGCGGGACAGAUAGUAGAUUUGACUUGACCUGAGAGAGCGAGCUGAUGAGUGAAGGUGGAGUAGAUCAGUUAAAUAUGCAAUGGGGGCUGACGGUGCAGUAAUCUGUACGUAAGAGUGAGUAUGGAUUCUGUACGUAACAGGGAGUCAGUGAAGUGAGUAUGGGUGUAAUGAGAGACCAUCUGUAUGACGGAUUAAGAAGUCUAGCAACACUGUGCUUAAAUGCUGCAUCACAAAGCUGCUGGCACGUCUGUACACUCUAAUAAUGUAGAACUGAAGGAUGCUCUAUAGAUAAAGAGACACUGAUUGCUUCAAUUAAUGAUUAAUUGAAAGAAAAAAAAUCCCAUUCCCUCAUUGAUAUCAAUGGGGUGGACAAAAUAAUAGAAACACCUGCAAUGCAAUUCAACAGCAUCAGACAUUUCAUCCCUCCAUAGUGACCACAUGAAGCAGGACUGCUGUAUUAGACUGCAUUAGUUUUAAGUAGGUGUACCUAAUAAUCUGACAGCUUAUUCACCCCAGCUUAUUCUGAGCUUUUCACAACACAAUUCACAAAAGAUUAAUACAUCUCUUAAUUACAGCUUGUAACCUCUGUUUAAAUGGUGCUUUAUCAAAAAUGUGUAAGUAGCAGCCCCAGAUGCAUUACUGCAGACUGACUGACUCUUAACUAUAAUGAGUAUAUUUAGAAGAAAAAAAGAAAUAGCUCUUAAAUGUUACCUUGGAGACCCUGAAGCCGUUGAAAUACUCCAGAAGUUUGAAUGGGUAGUCCAGCUCACUCUGGGACAGAUGUUCUGCCAUUGCUGCACUCCUGAUGUGAGACACAAACCAAAACAGAGCCGUCCUUCCUGGAGGAAUUCACACAACUUUAUUGUUUCUUUGAAUUUGGACAAACCUCGUAUGUCUUCUGUAUCAUCACUCACCCGAUGCUGUCGCCUGGAAAGCAGCCAAGAUGGUGGUCGAAAGCCGGGGAGAGACGGAUGAUUUUUUUGAGGGGGGGUGGGGGGGGGGGGUGCCGGGAGGUGGUGGGGGGGGGGCGGUGUAAAUUCGGUGAGUUUUGGUUUUAGCCGAAAACAGCAGCCAAGAUGUCGGGGGUGUGUUGAGGAGCCGCUGUCCGAGUGAAAUGGUCGUCGGAUCAUCAACGGACAACACCACACCCCUGCUCCGGGAGGUGAUGCCAGACGAAGCCGCUUUGGCUUUGAAAGGUCGAUAAGCAACAAACAGAGACGAGUUUGACUUCGACACACACUCACGCGGACACUGAGAGAGGGAGCCGUCAGCGUGCAGUUCCAGGAUCAACCAGAGCGUCAACGGGGGCGCUGUUGAGCUGUCGUCAAUGUCAGGAAGGUUUAUUUUUAGACCGUGGUGACCACAGCGGUGACCCGCAGAACUUCAUCAUGUCUGCACCCUGGUCUGCACAUGGAUGAACGUAAAUGUAGCUCUCGUGUCUGUGAAUGAUGCCGUGGCUAAUAAAAAAGAUAAAUCAUUUUACAUACAUAGAUACAUCUUCCUCAAAAUAACCCAUGUGUUAAUGUUAAUAUGCCGUUUUUAAAAUGGACAACAAAUUAAUAAUAAAGAUACAUUUUUAUUUGUCAGAAAAUAAAUAAAUGGGUGAUGAAUGUAUAAAUAAUCUACAAUUUUCUGCUUUUAUAUAUUUUCUUAUUCACUUGCAGAUGUAAUUAUUUCCUAAUUUAUUGAAUAAAUGUUAUUUAUUAUUUUU